rnacentral:lncRNA from 1 species
GGACCAAUGAUGACUUCCAUACAUGCAUUCCUUGGAAAGCUGAACAAAAUGAGUGGGAACUCUGUACUAUCAUCUUAGUUGAACUGAGGUCCACCGGGGGCUAUAGAGGGACAACUGUCAUUUUUUUUGAUGCCCGUUGCAUGAAGCAUUCUUCCAGGCUUAGGAAGGGAUUCCGUUUGGGUGAAGGAGAGUCACAGGGGAGUUGAGGCUAUGUGCACAGGACUUCUGUCUACAAGGCUGGGGUAGCACACAUGCAGUCCGUGGGACUAGGUGAAUGUGCAGGUUGCUCAGGGAGAGUUAACCUGUAGCCUGCCUCUGGGUGGCCAAGAUUGUCCUUGACUCCUGGCUCUGGGUUCCCACAACCCCUGGAGGAAGACAAGUAAUUGUGCUUGGGAAGAGAGAACAAGGCCAUACUUUUGCCUUUCUUUUUUUCAUUCUUAGUUUGAGAACAGUGGAGUUCCAAUCACCUGGCAUAGCUUUCAUGUUGUGUUCCAUGCAUUGUGAGUACAUGCAUAUGGCAGGAACACACAGGUUCCCACUGCAAGCUGAGCCUGAUAGGCAAGGAGUCUCUAGCUUAACCCCAGCCCAGUGUACGUCAAUGGCUUCCUCAUUAAAAUUGCAUGGCCCUGUAGCUUUUGUGAGUGACAUUAUAGGUAUCGAUGUAAGGGUGUUGAGAGGGAUGCUCAAUGUCAGUGCUCUUUAGUGUGCUGAUGCACUACUACAAGGGCACCUGAGCCCUUGUCCAUGCAUUUCUGUGUCCAAAAUCAGGUAAAGCCAGAGUUGGGUAUCAACCAGAUACACUGCAGGGGAUCAGAGGACAUGGCCUUUGUGUACUGCACAUCUGUCAGAUUUUCUCAAGCACACCCGUGUUUCCUCUUCACCUCCCACGUGGAAGUGAUGAAUUGGCCAGGACCAUGUUGGUGAGGGACAAUCAUCAUCUCAUGUUAACCUCAGAGAAGCCAGGAAGCUCCUGGACACACAUGGUGUAGGCUUCCUUGGAGGCUGUUGGAUCUCUCCUGAAUGUAGUGUUGGUGUAAAAGGCAAACCCGUGUCAUGAGGGAUGGUCAUCAUCUUGUGUGAUCCUUGGAGAUGGCAGGAAGCCCUGGACAUACAUGGUGUGGGGGCUCCUCCAGAGGCUGUUGGGAUCCUCCUGGAUGUGGUGUGGGCAUGGAAGGAAGGCCAGUGGAGACAAUGGAUGAUCUUGUUCUUAGCAGAUCACUGGAUGUGGCAGGGAGUCCUAGGACAUGUGUGGUGUGGGCUUCUUCAGGUGCUGGUGGUGUUGGCAUGAGGAAAGGAGGUAUCUUCGAGGGACAAUCUUCUUCUUGUGCGAUCCUUGGAGAUGCCAUGAGGCCCCUGGACACAUGUGGUGUGGGCUCCUUUGGAGGCUGUUGUAUCCCUUCUGAAUGUGGCGUGGGCAUAGAAGGAAGGCCAGUGGCCACGAGGGACAAUCUUGGUCUUGGGAGAUCCUGGAAAUGAUAGGGAGUCCCUUGAUAUGUGUGGCAUGGGCUCCUUCAGGUGCUAGUGGAUUCCUUAGGAUGGUGGUGUUGGCAUGAAAGGCAGGCUUGUAUCAUGAGGAAUGAUUGUCAUCUUGUCUGAUUCUUGGAGAUGGCAGGAAGCCCCUGGAAACACAUGGUGUGGACUCUUUCACAGGCUGUUGAAACCCUCCUGAAUGUGAGGCCAGAGACAGGCAGACAGCAGAUGUAUUGCAGGGAGCUGGAUGACAUGGCCCUUGGAACCUGUGCACAUGCCUGCCUUUCUGAUGCACGUCCAUGUUUUCUCUGCACCUCCCCGGUGGUGUUGGUAUAAAAAGCAGGCUUACAUCAGCAAGGGAUGAUUGUCGUCUCAUGCGAUCCUGGGAGAUGGCAGAAGUCCCGGGACACAUGGAGUGUGGGCUCUUUCGGAGGCUGUUGGAUCCCUCCUGAAUGUGUUGUGGCCAUGGAAGUAAGGCCAGUGGCUACGAGGGACAGUCUUCAUCUUGGGAGAUCCCUAGAGAGGGCAGGGAGCCCCUUGACAUGUGGAAUGUGAUCUCUGUUGGGUGCUGGUGGAUCCCACAGGUGGUCUGGCAUGGAAGAAGGCCAGAGGCUGCGAUGGAUCAUCUUUGUCUUGGGAGAUUCCUGGAGAUGGUGGGGAGCCCCUGGGCACGUGCAGCAUAUGUGGCGUGGGCUUCUUCAGGUGCUGGUGGAUCCCUCAGGAUGCUUUUCAAGGUUUUUCUAUGAGUUCUGUUAAAGAGUCUGAAAAUGGAGCGUAGAAGACAUGCUUCGAUUUCCAGGAUGGUUGUGUUUUCCAGAGAGGCGGAGGUAAACCACUGGCGCAGCCCUGCCUCCCACAGAUAAUUCCGGGUGCAGUGUUUCAUAUCUAGACUUGGACUUCUAUCCUACCAUACUUCUUUGUGUGCAGUUCAUUGUGGAACCAGCACAGAUUUUCAUACGAAAGUUAUUUCUUUUUAACCUCAAAAAGUGACAGAAUGGAGUGUAUCAUGAAAAAGUCUGACAUCAAAACCUCAAAAUGUGAUAUUGAUUGGGUGAGAUAGAAUUCCAUGGAAUUUCAUUGCCAAACCAGUGAAGUGCUAAUUUUGACAUUUGUACCAGCUAACGUAGCUGUGAAGAAACACACCAAUACACUUCUAAGGACAGCAUAGACCAAGAUCUAGGUUUCAUAUGGAUGAAUUUAUUCUUCCCUUUGAGGCAAGACAAGAAGGAAAGAAAGUAUUGGGAAUAAUGCUGCCCUCCCAUCCUCAAGGGCCAGUGGGAACUCUAAUAUUGAUUGGGUGAGAUACAAUUCCAUGGAAUUUUACCACUGAACCAGUGGAGGGCUAAUUUUGUCAUUUGUACCAGUUAACUAACUUGGGAGGAAACAGAACAACACACUCCUGAGAUUGGUUUUCACAGAAUUCCAUGGACUUUAACUGCUGAACCAAUGAUGCACUGAUUUUGUCACUUGUACCAGCUAACGCAUCUGGGAGGCAACAAAACAAUACUCUCCUGAGGUUAAUGUGGACCAAAAACUAGAUUUCAUAUAAAAGAGUUUAUUCCUUCUACUUGAGGUGUGACAUGAAGGAAAGUAAUGGAAAUAAUUCUGCCCUCCCAUUCUCAAGGGCCAGGGGGAAUUCAAAUAUUGAACGGAAGUGAUUUUGGAAUUGCAUGGAAUUCUCACUGCCAUCCCAAAGAAAUGCUGAUCUUGUCACUCUUACCUGUUUCAUUCCCUGGGGGCAGAACAAAAGGACGCACUCCAAAGAUCGGCAUGAACCAAGAACUGGGUUUCAUAUAAAAUAUUUUAUUCUGUCCUCUUGAGAUGUGACAUGAGAAAAGUAUUGAGAAUACUUCUAUCACCUCAUCUUCAAGAAUCCGUAGGAAUUCUCCCAUGGUGGACUUUACGGUUAACCUGAACAGGUCUUGGAAAAAGGACUUUAAACAUUCUCCUGUUCUGUGGAAUAAGUAUACUUUUUUCUGGACAUACACCUUGUCAGUGAGUUCCAUGUGAUACUAGAGUUGCAUAGAUUUUUAACCUUUACGCCAAUGAAGAUCUGAGGCAAACAUUGCCCCUUUUUUAGAAGUUUGCAUUUGUCACUGAUAACUGUAAUAAUUGAUCUUGUUGAAAAGCCUGGGAAAUGAAGAUCUGAUAUGUCACUUUUACCGGCUUCCUCAACUGAAAAAGAAUACAAUGAAACACGCUGAGAAUUUUUGUGCUUUCUCAGUCUUGCUGAUGAUCUUUCUAUGGGCCUGAAGCGUGGAGAGUGCCAGAGAGGCUGAUCCUCAGCAGUGUGGCAGAGGAAAGUUGGGUGCGACUAAGGGGUAUGCGGUGCCCACAUGCCACUGGGUCCUCAGCAGUACCACCUGAUUGGAAGUGAUAUUGGUGGAAGACAACAUUUUGCCGCUUGGAAUUCUCACCUCCACACCAAAGAAGUACUGUUUUUGUCAUUUGCACCAGCUUCUUUCUCCAGGAAAGAUCAAAACGAUGCACUGCAAGGUUAACAUCCAAUUUUUAAUACAUGUAAUUCCCUGGAUUAUUUUUGUUGUGUUAUUAAAUAACUUAGAAUUUUUUUUACAAAGUCUGUUGAACCAAACACUGUAAGGCAUUAAUAACCUGGUGAGUUAUUUGAGGCCUUUUUUCCUCUCCUAGAAUUUUUGCACAAUUUAUAUUUUGAAUAAUAUCAGAGACAUCCUAGUAGAGUAAUGAAUUAGUACAUUUUAUAUGCAGAUACAUAGUGAAGCCUCCUUUCUUAUGCAUAUUUGACAAAUGGACAUGUAUAUUUCUCAUCUUCCCAUAUUUUUACUCCAUUUCCACAGGUCAUGUAGACCAAAAUGUGAAUGUCAUAUGAAAGAGUUUAAACAUUGCCCUUGAAAUAUGACAGAAAGUAUCAGAAAUAAUUAUACCAUUCCAUGCUCACAGGCCAGUGGGAAUUCUCACAGUAAGCAUUUUGUCCAGAGAAUAUUCUUCUUAGGGAACUAUAACAUUCCAAUGAUAAUGGUAGUCAGCCAUGUGGCUGGAUCAUCGUUCCUGUAUCCUGGUCUCUAUGACUUAGUGUGGUGAUGGUGUCAUUGUGUCCAAGUGUGACAGAAUUGUUAGUGUGUAGUGUCUGUCUCCUAUCUCAGGCUCACAGUCCCUUUUAUAAACAUGCCUGGAUUGAUGAUGGCUUCAGUAUCUUUUGGAAAUCUGGACUGAGCAAUAGAAUUGCUUCUCUCAAAUUGAUUUCAAGUCAUAUAAAAGGCCAUGUUACACAUAUAUUGUUAAUCUGAGGGAGGCUGUGAUCAUUUAAGUUGUAUUUUAUAAACACUAGGACCACCAGUAAGAAAACAAUUCAAAAAAUAUUAAAAGAACAACCAAAGAAUUAAAAUAGAAUAACCGAAAAGAUCUGUUUAACACAAAAGAAGGCAGUUAAAGAUGAACAGAGGAACCAAUAAGACAUAUAGAAAACAGAUAGGAAAAUGACAGACAUAAACCCAGCCAUAUGACAAUUAUAUUAAAUUUUUAAGAGAUUAGGAAAUUCCGUUGUUUUUUAAACAUGAGCAACUAUACGCUGUCUACAGAAGAGACACUUUAGAACAAAAGAUACAAAUAGUUGGAAAGUAAAAAGAUGGAAAAAGCUAUAUCCAGCGAAUCCAGAAGAGAGCAGAAGUGGCUAUUCUGACAUCAGAAAAAAGAGACUUUAAGAUAAAGUAUUGCUAGAGAGGAAGAAGGAUAGUAUUUAAUGAUAGAAGGGUUAAUAUGGAAUAUGUAACAAUUACAAUCAUAUCAGCACUAACAACAGUGCCCAAAACUACAUACACUGAAAUUUAACAUGAUUGAGGGGAUCAAUAGGCAAUUCAACAAUAAAAGCUUUUGUUCAUACCCUCUUCUUAAUCAGUGAUAAGUCAAUUAGAUAGAGCAUCAUUGAGGUUACAACAUACUUCAGCAAUGUUGUCAACCAAUUUGACCUGAGAUAGAUAGAUAGACAGUUAGACAGACAGACAGACAGACAGAGAAAACUUCACCCAACAACAGAAAUACAAAUUAUUUUCAAGCAUACCUGGAACAUUCUCCAGGAUAGAGUAUAUGUUAGGCUAUAAAACUGUACUCAAUAAAUUUAAGAUUGAAACCAUGUAGAGUAUGUUGUGUGACCAUAGAGGAAUUAGAAAUCAACACAGAAAUAAAUUUGGAGGUCACAAGAUAUUUGGAAAUUAACACACUUUACAGAGCCCAUUGGUCAAAAAUAUAUAUAUUAAACUAGAAAGGCCGGGGGUGGUUGCUUACACCUGUAAUUCCAGCACUUUGGGAGGCGUAGGUGGGCACAUCACUUGAGGCCAGGAGUUCAAGACCAACCUGGGCAACAUGGCAAAACCCCAUCUCUACAAAAAAAUACAAAAAAUGAGUUGAGCAUGGUGGUGCAUGCCUGUAGUCCCAGCUACUCAGGAGGCUGAGGUAGGGGAAUCACCUGAGCCCAGCAGGUAGAAGCUGCAUUGAACCAAGAUUGCACCACUGCAUACCAGCCUGGGCGACAAAGUGAGACCCUGUCUAAAAAAUAAAAGGAAUCCAGAAAACAUCUUGCAUAGAAUUUGAUACAACUAAAGACAUGCUUAGAGGGAUAUUUAUAGUUUUAAAUAACUGUAUCAGAAAAAAAGGGAAGAUAAAUAAAUGACAUAAGCUUCCACCUUAAGAAACAAGAAAAAGACUAAACUAGAAGAUGAAAUCCAAAGCAAGCAGAAAGAAGUAAACAAUAGGGAUUGGAGCAAAAAUUGAUGACAUAAAAAACCAGACAAAAUACAGAGAAAAAUCCAUGAAACCAAAAGUUGGGUUUGUGCAGAGAUUUGUGAAAUUUACAAUCCUUUAGCUAGACUGACACAGAUCAUUAGAAUUAGGAAUGAUGGAGACAACAUCACUACUGACCCUAUAGAUUGGAUCAGGAAUGUCGCUGUUUGCUGCAUUGUGCUUUCUUGAGGGGAGAGCUAUGAAGGAAAACAAAGUUCUCAUUGCACUUACAACUCAACAACACAGCGUUGACAUUUUGAUUCUCACUGGCUUCAGUGCUCAUCUCUGUGAGGUUUCCAGAAGAUCCCGUAGCAAUAUCACUCAUUCUAAAUUUAUCUUUGGGCUACUCUGGGAACGCUGUCUAUGGGUUAGCCCUGCUCUGCAAGGAGCAGUAAGAAAAUAUAUAUAUAUUUUUUGAGGCUGAGUCUCGCUCUAUCGCCCAGACGGGAGUGCAGUGGCACGAUGUUGGCUCACUGCAACCUCCACCUCCAGGGUUCAAGCGAUUCUCCUGCCUCAGCCUCCCAAGUAGCUGGGAUUACAGGCACGUGCCACCACACACCGCUAAUUUUUGUGUUUUUGUAGAGACAGGGUUUCACCAUGUGGGCCAGGCUGGUCUCAAACUCCCAACCUCAGGUGAUCUGCCCUCCUUGGCCUCCCAAAGUGCAGGGAUUACAGGCAUGAUCCACUGUGCCUGGCAAGUAUGUUUGUAGCCAGUGGGGAAUUAUUUUAACUAGGCAAUAAUUUGAUCUAUUUUGGGAAGCCUCUUGUAAUCAAAUCAUAUAUCAACAUUAAUCACAUGGUGAGUCCUCCAUGGUUUUCAUUCCUAGAGAUUCUAGGAUGUUUGACAUUUCUCUGCUUAGCUUAUAGCAGAAAGGUAUUGGAUAUCAAGAAUGUUUGAACAGUUUCUCCUUUUUGGGAAUGAAGAUGAAAUUGGGCUAGAAUGAGAUGUGUGAUUGAGAGAAUGUCCCUGAGGCCUGAGCAGUGUGUCCUUUUGGGUAUGGGCAUUGGAAGCAUGUAGUGAAUUCUUAUAAUUUUAUGUUGCCUCGGCAUCCAUCUUGAGUAUAAGUUUAACUUUGUUAUACCAGAAGCAAGGCUUACUCACUUUUGCACAGUUUCCAGUUCUACACCUCCUUCUCGUUCCUCAGUGUGAUUGGUCCAGAUAGCUGCCUUAUCCAACUGCCUCCUUUGGACCACUUCAUCAUGGGACAGCUUGAUGCAAUCUACUUGACAAGACCCUGGAACCCCACACCCCUCAUGGAACCAGUGUCCACCUCCCAGUCACAGUGUGACCCCAGGGAACUCUUGCCUGCUUGCUUUAAACCCACCACUUAAAAGUCUCCACAGAAAACCUGUUUGAAUAGUACCCUUGACCCAAUAAGGGCAUUGGCCCCUGGGUGUCUCUCUCUCUCUCUCUCUCUCUCUCUCCCUCUCUCUCCCUCUCUCUCUCUCGCUCCCUGACCUCUGCGUGUGGACUCCAGGCAUGCCAUAUACCCCUCAGGACCUGUAAGUAAUACUAUCUUUAUUUUUAUUUUAUAUCUCUCCUAAUCAUUGAAAAGGUGCUCUCUAUCUUGAAGAUACUAUAUUAAAUAAAAUGAGAACUUGUCCCUAACACAGUUAGUGAUAGGCUGAAACACGCUGAUUGCACUCUUUACCCAUUUAGUGAUUUUUCUCAAGUUACUCUACACCAUGUAUUAUCAACAUAAUUGAUAUUACAGAAUAGAAUUAUAAGACACUUCUUUUGCCACAGAAAGUUCUAUUGGACUCAGAUUAUCUAGAGCUACUACAUGUAUGCUAUUCUAUGAUAAAAGAUGUAGAUGUGAUAAAAACAUUUAUAAAAUAUCUGUCUUAGAAAAGUUAGCUAAAAUUAUUUUGGGAAAAGUAUGUUUGAAAAUAGAAUCGUAAGCUACCACAUUGUGAUAAAUAUUUCUAAAUGUGUCUAUUAACUUGUCAGGAGACAACAGAGUGAAUUAAAACAGUAGCCUUGUAUCAGUAUGUUUUUAUUCAGAAGACAAAUGCACGUUUUAACUAUUAUAUGUUCUUGGCUUAACUUUUUUUGUAAAGUUAAGACAUUACACUUUUACAUGAAUCUGUAAUUUCAAGAUAUCUUAAUGGUUGACAGGGACAGGACAAUUGAAGAAAACCUGUAAAUACAUUUGGUAAAAUUUAUGAUGGAUUGUUUUGCAGAUGGCUUCAGAGGUUAUUAGCACAUCUGUUUGAGAUAUGCACAGUUUUACAUUUGUCCCUUAGGUAAUCAACAGGGCUGAGAUCAGUAAAUCACAUGUAAGCCACUGUUAUGAGGCUAUUCUGAAUAGAGUUACAUCAUUUUAUCAUAUCUAGACUUUCUAGUUAUAUUGGUGCUGUUGAAAAUGAUUUUGUAUUACAUGCUUUCUUCCAAAUCAUAGAUCAAGAUAUUUUAUUUAUGUAUGUCUUUUAAAUGAAGAGUGGUUAGGAUAGUCCUGAUUAUUGCACAUAAAUAUUGCCUUUCACUAGAUUAUUGUUUUGGGCCAAAUUUUAGACUAUUAUUUUAAAAAAGAGUACCUUAGUUUAAUCCAACCUUUCCAGAUACUUAGAAAUUAUUGAAAUGUAUAUUUUGUGAAGAUGGUCUUAUGAAAGUUGUUGAGCUAGAAACAUGUCCUUCACCAGUGGAAUUCUUAGAAGCUUUCCUUGGGCUUCACUGGGUGCUAAUAGACCAUGAUCGUAUUGCUCUGUAUAUAAUGGUACAAAUUUUGUUUUAUAACACUCAGUCUUAAUAGAAUGGGAAUAUUUUAUCUUACUAACGUAGUCAUUAGCUGGCCACUCUCUGUGUCCAUUGGACCUUAUAGGGUAAAGGGAGGGCAGUGCGUAUUUGAAGCCUGUGCACGUGACACACAAAGGGCUUAGCAACCUCCGUGUUUUCCCAGCACAGGAUACCCAUUCUUCCUGAAUGUUUCAUUGUUAAAUUAGAUUGUGUGUGUGUGUGUGUGUGUGUGUGUGUAUUUUAUAUUAACAUACAGAUGUAUGUAUUUUAGUUGCAUUUUUUUUCUUAAAAUGUUAUUUUUUCUCUUUUUCUUUUAUGUCAGGUGAUGAUAGAGCCCCUAGGGAAGCAAAACUGUCCAUGCCCUUGCCUUAACUUUCAGAUACGAUAAAAACAACAUUUAUAAAAUACCUGUCUUAGAAAUAUUAGCUAAAAUUAUGUUGGGGAAAGUAUGUUUGAAAAUAGAAUUGUAAGCUACCACAUUGUGAUAAAUAUUACUAAAUUUGUUUAUUGACUUGUCAGGAAGCAAAAGAAUGAAUUAAAGAAAACUCCAGAGAAUGAGCUGACAACCUACUCCCUGGUCAGUGGCUCUCCAUGCCUACCUGUGGUCUCUUGGACACCCUUGCAGAAGAUGACUUCCUGGGAACUCUUCUGGGAGUGAAUGUUAUCAGCAAAUUCCCAAAACAACACCCCUUAGACAAAAAGCCUCCUCACCUAUGCAUUGCCUAGACCACCCACUAAAGGUGAUGGCCACAAAGAGGUGGAUUUGUUGAGUUGGUGCCAUUCCUUCUACUGCCAGCUUCACCAAAACAAUGACACAGUCUUCCUUCCGCAUGGAGACUCUUCUCUUUCCUGUGUUGCAGUGGAUGCCUCCUGCAGAUAAGAAAUGCUUAACUGAGAAAUGCUCAUGUUGGGAUAUCAUCGAUGAGACUUUAAUUUGGGCAUGGUGACUGUUUCCCUUGCUGCCACUUGACUCAAUCCCAGGAGCCUCAGUAGAGGAUAUAAUAUUACACAAGAUGCUCAAAAUGGUGGAAUUGCUCAGUGCUCCCAUAAAUAUACAUUUAUAAUUUUCAUUUGCCACAUGGUAAACUGAAAAAUACAGACUAUAUUAAAAAGAAACUGCAUGAUUUUUUUUCAAAAAUUCAAAGCAUAUUUAAAUAAUAUAUAAAUUAAAUGCCCUCCUCUCUUCCAAUUCUGUCCCUAUAGUUUUCCUCUAUUAAGUGAACUACAUGCAUUCUUUUAGUGGAUAGAUGCACACAAACACACAAGCCAUUAUGGGGAAGGAUCCACGUGUGUGGCCAUAUUGUAACACAUUUUUCUGCAAAUCACCUCUUUCAUUUAACAGCCCUUAUUCAAUGGCCUUUUUCUUUUUCAGUAGUACAUACACAUCUGUGUCAUUUGUUGAAUGACGACAUGAAUGUUUUGUAGAUAAAAUAUAAUUAAAUGUUUUAAGCAUUUCUCACUCAUAGAUAUUUAUGUUAGCACCAAAUUUCUGUGCAAUGAACCUCCCUAUAUAUCAGUAAUUUUGCAUUUGUCUAUAAUAUCAUAAUAAAUUACUUAUCAGUUGAAUUACUGGGAUUAAGUAUGUGCACACUUUAUAUUUAUAUUUUGAAAAUUAUUGCAAGAUUGCCUUCAAAAAUGUGGUUAACAACUUUAUCUUCAAAUGGCAAUGAAUGAGAUUGCCAGCUUUCCUACAGCCUCACAGACAAUGGAUUUUAUAAAUAUUUAACAUUUUUGCCAAUGUGAUCACCCAAACUAUUGUCUUAAAUUGUAUCUCUUUUGUUUUUGAGUUUGGUCAUUUUUUCAUGUUUAUUAGCCAUCUGUAUUUUUUAAUUUCUUCUUUAUGUCCAAUUUUGUGGGUGGGAGGAGGAUUUAGUCUCUUCCUGAUUUCGAAGAGCUCAUUUACUAUUUCGGGAAAUAAGAUUUGGAUUGUCAACCAUUAUAGCUAUUUUUUACACACUUUUCAACUUUGUUUUUGUUAUAAGAAUGUGUAUGAUUGUUACAUGUCCAAGUAUAACCAUGUUCGCUUUUAUGGCUUCUGAGUUUCAUGUCAUUUUUGGAAAGAUAUAUAUAUUGAGUCCAUAAAACCCUUCACCUAUGUUAAAUUCUAAUUCUUUUGUGUUUUUUUAAUUCAAAUUCUUAAAUCAUGAGAAAUUUUUUUGUUUUGAAAUCUUAAAGUUGCCAAGUUACUUGCCAUUACUUGCGAUUAUUUGCCAAUAAUUGCCCAUUUAUCUGUACCGCCAUCUUGCGCAUAUGCUGUACUCUCAUCUGUGACUGGCUCCAUUUUUGUUCUGUGGAUUUGUGUGUCUCUUCUUCUGCCUCCUGUCUCGUGUCUGCUCGUUGGAAGAAAUUACAGUUUAGACUGCAAUUUCAUCAACUUUAAUAAAUCAAUUGAGGGGAGAAUUGGUUUUUAAAAAUAUUAAGUAAGUCUUCGUAUCCAAGGACAAGGUAUGUCUUUUCUUAUUCAAUAAUUUUAAUUACUGUUAAUAUUUUCACUGUGGUGAUGGGAGUUUUUCUUUUAAUUUAUUUUCUUGUUCAUUUUUUGUAUCUAAAGUUUUUGUUUUGUUUUGUUUUGGGGGUAAGUUGUCACCUUACUGUUUCUUGUUGCUUUUCAGAUUUUUUCAAAGUAUAGACUAAAUCCUUCACAAAUAUUUAAAGUUUUUAUUUUCCCCCUUCAUAUUGAUCCUGAUUUUAGUUAUGUUGACAAAGUCCACAGACUGUUACUAUCAGAACACUUGAACAGUUAUGGAAAUAUUACCUACCCUUGAUUUAAUCAGAGUUUAAUGGUAUGCUUCUUUGGUUUGACUGGCACAUUGUCGCUGGUCAUUUCCUCCCAAAGACCACCAGAAAGAGCUAUGAUCAAGCAAAGCUGAGUUUGUUAAACUUACCUGCAGCAAGGGAAAACACCACCUUGAUAGGGUUUAAUAAUGUUUCAAAAUCAAGAAAUGAGGCUUUGGGGUCUGGGCAGGGAACUAAUUAGAAAUGGGCAAAAUUUGUCAUGCAAUACCUUGUGGGAAAGUGAGAUGAGGUUCUUAAUGUGAGUAUUGAUGGUGAAAUCAUUUUCUAGGUGAGCUGUUUGCCUAUAUAAAGAUGUUAUCAAUGACAGAAGAACUAUUUGCCUAGAUAAACAAACUGAAUUUAUUUAUUGGUUUACAGUUUUAUCUUGCUGGGCAGGACUCUGCUGGGGGUGGUAUCAGGUCUUAUUCCCAAUAGGUAAGUUAUUUGGAUAUGGGUGGUCUUAAUCAUCAAUGUGUAAAAUGCUGAUUUUAAGUGCGAAAUACUUUGUCUACCAUGUUAGGAAAGUCUGCCACCUUUUAUCUUUUUUAAGGAAUUUUAAUCAAAACCAGGUGGUAGAUAUAAUCAAAUUGUUUUGCAGAAUCAAUUUUCCUGUUCUCUUUAAAGACUUUUAUCACUGUGAAUUAAUUUACUAUUAUUGCAACUUCCUUUAAUUCCUUGAAUGAACAGACCCUACUGGUUUUAAAAAUGUUUUAUUCUUUUAAUUUACUACUUAAUUGUGGGUAUUUUAAUUUGAUUUGGAAUUUUUACAAGUAUACAACUAAGUGAAAUUGAUCUGUGAUUUUUCUUUUUUGUGCUAUUUUUGUCAUGUUUUGAUAUCAGAUAUUCUGGUUGUGUUAAAAUAAUUUUGAGGAUUUUCUUCUUAUACUGUGUUCUAGAGUGGGUAAAAAAGCCCUAGUCUCACUAUCAGUGUUUAAGUGAACACAUCAGUGACAUCAUCUGGACUCUCCUUUGUUUUUGCUGGUUUGGAGUUAGGACAUCUAGAAGUUUUUUUCUUUUUUUCCUUUUUUUGUAUGGUUAUUGCUUGUUCUUUGUUUUGUGUCAAAUUUAACCUGUUUUCUCUUAGCAAAUCACAGCUCAUGCAGAUUUUCAAACACAUUAGCCUUGUUAUACAAAGUGUUCUUUCAUCAUUCUAUUAAAUUUCCAUUUUCAUUCCAGUUAUAGUUAUUUCUGCUGUGCCUUUGUUAAUGAAUAAGUUUAAACAGUGGAUGUUUAGCAUCACUAGCCUUCCCCUUCCAUCUCCCUUAAUCAGGACCUUGGUAUAAUUUAUCAGGUAUUUUUUAAGGUUCUAAUUUACUUAUAUAUAUUGUUUCUGUAUUCUUUUGUUUCUUUUCUUAAUAAAUUCUUAAACCUGUGUAACACAUUCAUAUUCACUUGUUCUUGGCAAUGAAAGAUUUACCCUGCUGUGCAUUUUAUAAAACUUGUCAUUAUGAACACAUUGUAA